AUCGCUUCUCGGCUCAAUGAGCUAAGAUCAAAGGUGUAGUAUCUGUUCUUAUCAGCUUAAUAUCUGAUACACUCCGCAAUGCGGAGUCAGAUUAUUAACUGUUUUUUGGAAGUUGACGGAUUGUAGGAGCUUGCUCCAUAUUCGUUUGAGUCGGCUGGCAUUGCAGUAUCGCUAGAAGUGACUCGAUUAUU